rnacentral:rRNA from 1 species
GACGAACGCUGGCGGCGCGCCUAACACAUGCAAGUCGAACGGGAUGAAUUUUCUCACUGAGUUUUUUGCGAGUCAGCCGGAAGCGCCAUUGAUGCGAAGCAUCAAUUAGGCUUAUUCCAGUAAGACUGACACAAAGGGCAAAAGACUGAGUGAGGAAAUUCAUUCAGUGGCGAACGGGUGAGUAACGCGUGAGGAACCUGCCUCAAAGAGGGGGACAACAGUUGGAAACGACUGCUAAUACCGCAUAAGCCCACGGCUCGGCAUCGAGCAGAGGGAAAAGGAGCGAUCCGCUUUGAGAUGGCCUCGCGUCCGAUUAGCUGGUUGGUGAGGUAACGGCCCACCAAGGCGACGAUCGGUAGCCGGACUGAGAGGGUUGAACGGGCCACAUUGGGACUGAGACACGGCCCAGACUCCUAC